GAUGAACGCUGGCGGCGUGCCUAAUACAUGCAAGUCGAGCGAACAGACGAGGAGCUUGCUCCUCUGACGUUAGCGGCGGACGGGUGAGUAACACGUGGAUAACCUACCUAUAAGACUGGGAUAACUUCGGGAAACCGGAGCUAAUACCGGAUAAUAUAUUGAACCGCAUGGUUCAAUAGUGAAAGACGGUUUUGCUGUCACUUAUAGAUGGAUCCGCGCCGCAUUAGCGAGUUGGUAAGGUAACGGCUUACCAAGGCGACGAUGCGUAGCCGACCUGAGAGGGUGAUCGGCCACACUGGAACUGAGACACGGUCCAGACUCCUACGGGAGGCAGCAGUAGGGAAUCUUCCGCAAUGGGCGCAAGCUUGACGGAGCAACGCCGCGUGAGUGAUGAAGGUCUUCGGAUCGUAAAGCUCUGUUAUUAGGGAAGAACAAAUGUGUAAGUAACUAUGCACGUCUUGACGGUACCUAAUCAGAAAGCCACGGCUAACUACGUG
rnacentral:rRNA from 1 species